rnacentral:rRNA from 1 species
CACGUAGGGCGCAAGCGUUGUCCGGAAUUAUUGGGCGUAAAGAGCUCGUAGGCGGUCUGUUACGUCUGCUGUGAAAACCCGGGGCUCAACCCCGGACCUGCAGUGGAUACGGGCAGACUAGAGGCAGGUAGGGGAGAAUGGAAUUCCCGGUGUAGCGGUGAAAUGCGCAGAUAUCGGGAGGAACACCGGUGGCGAAGGCGGUUCUCUGGGCCUUGCCUGACGCUGAGGAGCGAAAGCGUGGGGAGCGAACAGG